GUUUAAUUACAAGAGUUUAUAUAUUCUGGGGAAAAGUAAAAUAAGGCAGAGCCCUAAUUUUUUUUGUAACAAUUUUAACUAGCGGAAAUAUGAUUUUAUACUGUUUACUUUGACAUUUCUGUGAUAAGAACAGCUAACUUUUUAAUUUUUUUUCUAGUAUUUGACAUUUAACGACUGGACAGUGUGAAAGUAGAGAAUGCAAAUAAAUUAUAAAUUCCAAAAACCUGUCUGAUGGGUUCCUGUAUUAACUACUGAUUUUCCUUUGAGAUGCUGCCAUUUAUCUGCUUAUGGUAGACUUAUGGGAGUGAAGAUGAGAAUUUCUACUACUGUUAAGAAUGUAACAUUUAAUUAUCUCCUCCUCAUUUUCUUCCCGGAAGCUGUGUGUACACGGAAUUCUUUUCCAUGAGCUGGACUGCAAAGACUCUCUCUUUCUCUUCCUCCUCAAGAUCCACAUCUUCCACAACAUAUACAGGAAACUACCUGCUCAAGUUAUCUACAAAGUUACUUCCUCUUCCCUUAUUUACCAUUUAUUCUUAAUGUAUUUACCCUUUCUGUUAAAUGUUCAUUUAUGUAGAAGGAUGGGGGAGUGAGCCUCCAGAGUAUCAACUGGCCAUAUAAACCCCAACAGGAAAUGUUCAUCUGAGCUACUCUUCUAGAGAGAAUGGAGAGUUCGGAGUACAUAGUGUAAGGAAAAAAAUAACUAGCCCCCCCAAAAUUCCAGGAGUUUUGUGCCACCAGAAGCAUAUUGUUCCUGUUUAAAACAUACUUGUUGUGCAACCGUAAUCCCAUUUAGUAGGAAAUAAGCCAACUACCACUCAAACUAUUUUAAAAUUAUGUGGAUAAUCAAAUAGUAGUCAUUUAUUUAGUUUCCAGUGCUGAUUAUGCACAACAAGUUAUGGUAGGUCCCUUUCUAAAAUUUUGCCUGAGACUGAUAUAUUAUGUUGUACUGAAUAUUUUCUUGAUAGCCUUAUUUUAUCUCUAGCCAGGAAAUACGUAUCCAUUUUUAAGAACUACAAUGUGAACAAAUACAAUAUUGCUAUAGGAGUUCUGUAUGCAGGAAUAUUUAGACGGUAAAUGUUAGGUAAAUGUUAUGGAAAUGUAGGAUUUAAAUUAGCUUUGAUAAGUACAGUUUUUGCAUGGAUCCAAAAUUACUUAGUUUGACUUUUACGGUAUACAGAUGUUGAUUAUCUAGUGUGCUCAUCAUGAAAUAUAUUUUUAAAAUAAAUUCCAAUAAUGUUAUAUAUGUAUCUCUGGAGACCUAAAUAAUAGGAAUGUUGACAUCAGGAGAAAUUAUGCAUGUUCAAUACCUUUGACUGUCAGGCUACUUUUUAUUUAGGUGCCUCAAAAUAGUUUUAAAUAUUGAGGAGUACCGUGGCACUUUAAAUACUAACACAUUUAUUUGGGCAUAAGCUUUUAUCGGCUGAAACCCAAUUAAUCAGAUGCAUGAUGUGGAAAUUUUAGUUGGUUUAGGUUCCUACUUGUAGGCAGCUGCAGUGGAAAAUAUGGUCAUAAUAUUUGCAAUGAAACUAAAAUGGCAAUAUUUUACAAGUGAUAAACAAGAAAGGGUUAGAAAGAGAGCAUGUGAUCACUAAAAAGGCCAUGCCUACAAUUUUGCAAGAGAAAUGAUUAGUGUAUUAUAAUAAUUUGAAUAAAUCUGUGUCAUCUGAUGGAAGUUUCUAACGAUAAUUAUGGUCCUUUGUUUUUUUCUGUGGAAGCUCUUUCAUACUUCUAUAUUAAGUUCAUUUUACUAAACCUCUCAGUUUCUGCUGAUGAUGUCAAACACUCUUUGAUUAUAACUGGAAGUACUCGAGGUAGCUUGCUCCAGGCUGUCCACAGCUUUCCAGUAAGUGUAGCCCAGGAACGGUUGUUUUCAAAUAUCCUGUCAGCCAGCUUGAGUGCA